rnacentral:misc_RNA from 1 species
UGGAUCACCUAAAAAAUACAUCAUCAUUCUUGCACACAAACCUGCGCUGGAUAAUUUUUGAUGAAGCAGACAGAAUUCUGGAGCUUGGAUAUGGUAAAGAGAUUGAAGACAUACUUAAUAUUCUGGGCUCAAAACAACAAAAAUCUGUUGGCAAGGGUAACACAACUUCACAGAUUUCUGAGGUUCAGAGACAAAAUGUGUUGUUAUCUGCUACAUUAAACGAGAAAGUAAAUCAUCUCGCGGAAAUUAGUUUAGAUAACCCCGUGAUGGUUGGGCUUGACAAGAAAAUAGAGCUACAAUUAACUCAUCAAGACGUCAAACCAAUGGAAUUUAAUGGGAAUGAUAUAUUAGGAAAAGAUGGCAAACUACUGAGCUCUUCAACUGAAGAAUAUAAGCUUCCGACUCAGCUACUUCAGAGAUAUAUUAAAGUCCCCUGUGGUUCACGGCUUGUAGUGCUUCUUGCAAUUCUAAAACAUCUGUUUGAGAAGGAACCUUCCCAGAAGGUUGUGGUGUUCUUUUCAACAUGUG